rnacentral:lncRNA from 1 species
UUUGAGCUGUGACUGACUGACUGUGCAACCAAAUUAAGAUUCAAAAACUCAUUACCAGAUGUCGCUAGUGUCGCCUUUGUUGUUGUUACAUCGUGAAAAACGGGCAAAAUGGGCGAAACAAUUGGAUGCUAAUUAAUUAUUAUAUUCCUGUGAUUUCACAUACCAAAUUUAACUUCGUAUCAUAUAUGCAUACUGUAAUAAGUCAUUCCAAAAAAUUGACUUAGCACUCAGUCACUUUCCCUCCAAUAGACCCAUCAUGUUGUCAAAAGCCUAAAACUCAUGUGUGAAGCUCACAUAUCAUGGAAUACAAAUGUGUGGAGACAAGGAAUUUCCCCAUUACUGCUACCACACCAACCACACCACGUCAAAUGCCAAAUUUAGCACCAUUCACCCAUAUGAUCAAGCAUCAGGAAAUUUACCUCAACCUAAUGAGUAAGGCUGUUGGUCGCUGUGAUUUCCAUUUUUGCGGUUUUUUUAUCAUGAAAAUCUUCAGUGUGCUUCUUAGUUUAGAGCACGUAAUAGAUCCUUAAGCCAAUGCUGACCUUUGUCCAUGAAGGAAGAGGGACAUCCAGCAACGUUCUGCUCCAUCCUUAUCUUCCCGACGUACGCUCAUCUAGCUUCACUGCUUUUGCUGCUAUAACUUGUUUUACUUCACCGACAAGUUGGAACACUUCAGUGGUCGCUACCCCCUUUGCUGUUACACACCUGCAGUUACUCACCACGGGAUUAUGCCCAGGUAAUGCAGAAGAGACGUCGAGAAGAUGGAUACCAAAACAUUGCCGGU